rnacentral:rRNA from 1 species
GCGUGCUUAACACAUGCAAGUCGAACGAUGAAGCCUAGCUUGCUAGGUGGAUUAGUGGCGAACGGGUGAGUAAUACGUGAGUAACCUACCUUUAACUCUGGGAUAAGCCUGGGAAACUGGGUCUAAUACCGGAUACGACCAAUCUCCGCAUGGGGUGUUGGUGGAAAGCGUUAUGUAGUGGUUAUAGAUGGGCUCACGGCCUAUCAGCUUGUUGGUGAGGUAACGGCUCACCAAGGCGACGACGGGUAGCCGGCCUGAGAGGGUGACCGGCCACACUGGGACUGAGACACGGCCCAGACUCCUACGGGAGGCAGCAGUGGGGAAUAUUGCACAAUGGGCGCAAGCCUGAUGCAGCGACGCCGCGUGAGGGAUGACGGCCUUCGGGUUGUAAACCUCUGUUAGCAGGGAAGAAGAGAGACUGACGGUACCUGCAGAGAAAGCGCCGGCUAACUACGUGCCAGCAGCCGCGGUAAUACGUAGGGCGCGAGCGUUGUCCGGAAUUAUUGGGCGUAAAGAGCUUGUAGGCGGUUUGUCGCGUCUGCUGUGAAAGGCCGGGGCUUAACUCCGUGUAUUGCAGUGGGUACGGGCAGACUAGAGUGCAGUAGGGGAGACUGGAACUCCUGGUGUAGCGGUGGAAUGCGCAGAUAUCAGGAAGAACACCGAUGGCGAAGGCAGGUCUCUGGGCUGUAACUGACGCUGAGAAGCGAAAGCAUGGGGAGCGAACAGGAUUAGAUACCCUGGUAGUCCAUGCCGUAAACGUUGGGCACUAGGUGUGGGGGACAUUCCACGUUUUCCGCGCCGUAGCUAACGCAUUAAGUGCCCCGCCUGGGGAGUACGGCCGCAAGGCUAAAACUCAAAGAAAUUGACGGGGGCCCGCACAAGCGGCGGAGCAUGCGGAUUAAUUCGAUGCAACGCGAAGAA